CCAUAGGCAUGUGUCGACAAGUCAGCGCAAACCGCAAUCCACUUGGGUUAUUCAUAAGGCUGUUCUAACGGGUUCGCUGCGACGCGGCACGCGCUAUUUUUCUAGUUCUGAAUCUAUUUCUAGCUAGCAAACCGUACCAUGACACGGACCGCUCCAAAUGGUUAAGGUCACGCGAAAUGCAAUAAUACGGUCCGAAAAACGGACAUGGGGAGAAACAGAGCAGAGAGAGUUUGUGGUGGUGGAACCCAAGGACAAAUGGGCAAUGAGCCGCCAAAUGACCAACGCGGAAGUGCGCUACUCCUAGAGCGCACUAGAGGCAUUUUCUUUCGUUUUGCAUUCAACCCACAAUCACUGAAGCGUCCACAAAAAGUCUUAGCGAGCGGAAUUUCUGGGCCAACUUAUCGUCGUUUCCGAAGCUGUCGUGUUCAUGCAUUUGCGUGUUUGAUAUCAUUAAUGUUGUUGUUGUUUUUGGUGUUGGGUGUAUUGACGAUUGUGGACUUGUGCUGUUCCGAGUAUUAUUGAUUGCAACAGGCUCGCCCACCCACACUCGUCCAGGCCGGGUGGUGGGGAGGGAAAGAAGGUCGAGUUUGGCGCUCAGGCAAGGCUCACCUGUGUUUUUGUUGCUGCAGUCCUGUGGCCGAGUAUCCUUGAAAUUCCGUUUGAGUGCCUUUUGUAUGAAGUGGCUCCUGCUAAUCUACUGCUGCGUUACAUACAAAAAUUCCGAAUAAAAACAGCAUUUACAUAAAUAAUAAA